CAUAGCAACAGUUCAAAACAAAGCCGCCAUACGGAUAUUUCACUGACUGACAUGAUUUCAGCUCGAUAUCUGCACAUGAUUAUAUUAUUAAUUAUAUGAUUAUAUGAUUAUAACAUUCAGCCGUUUCUCGUUUUGAUCGCGCGCUUCAUUUAACCGAAUGUCUGCCUCGGAUUUUCUACGGGAAGCGGAAGGUCUCAGAAGACUGCUGUGUAAAGAGGAGCGAGAGAGCAGAAGAACCGACCUGAGACACACUUUCAGCGACUGUACCGAGCUCAACAAUCAGCUCCGCGCGGACAUGAUGAAGGUUCAGCAGCAGCUGCAGAAACUCAAGAACGCCGUCUUCAGGUUCCAGCAGCAGCUCAUGGACGCCAAACCGUCUGCGGAUGUGAUUGACAGAUUAAAAGACACCAUGAUGGACAUCGAAAACUCCAUCAGCAUGUUCAAAGACACGCAGCAUCAGAGUUUUGAGGAGCUGCUGAAAGACGAGAGGAUCUUCUGGCAGGAGAUCUGUGCCUUCGAGAAGAAGAUUGAGGCUUGGAGUUUGCCUGUGAAAGCAGACGUCCGUCUUCCCAGCGCUCGCUCGGACCGGCUGCGCGACGACAGGAGGAAUCUUCCGGCGGAGGUGACGGAGCUCGAGACCUUCCUCCAGCGGACGGGAGGCCGGCGGGGCGGCUGGGACGAGUACGACCACCAGAGCUUCCUGAAAGUGUGGACGAAGCACAGCGGGAAGCCCUCGUACAGACAAGAAGUGAGGCUUUAUUUACCUGGAAAGACUGAGGAAGAGCUGAAGCUGCACGAGGAGUGGUUUCUGGAGCUGCGGCGCCGGCAGGAGAAGAAGAGGGAGGCCGUCCGCAGAUGGAGAGAAGCCAAGCAGAGAGAGCGAGAGCUGCAGAGAGAGCAGCAGGACGCAGGCGACACGAGGACGGAGCCGCAGGACGAGGAGCAGCGGCGGCUGAAGCAGGAGGAGCGGCGGAGGGAGGCGGCCGAGCGGCUGGAGGCCUGGAGGAGCCGGAGAGAACAAGAGCGAGAACAAGAGCAAGAGCAGCGGCUGAGGAACGAGAUCCUGCAGAGAAGAAGAGCCAAAGAAGAGCAACGCCGACAGCUGGAGGUCAAGCUGAUGGUGGAGGCUCACGCCCGGCAGAAGAAGGAGGAGGAGGAGCUGCGUCUGCUGGAGGAGGAGGCGCAGCAGCGGGCGGAGAGAGAGGAGCGACAGCGGCAGGCAGCCGAGGCCAUCAAACGCUUUCAGGAGAGAGAUUCACUUCGUCUGGAGGAAAAACUGCAGGAGAAACAGAGUAAAGAGGAGGAGCGCUGGGAGCGGCAGAGGACGCUGGAGAAACUCAAGGAGAAGGUUCAUGUCAGCCGCGAUCCCUCCAGACUGUGGAAGCGCACUAAAGUCUGGGAGGAGCGCAUGAGAGAGAUCGGCCCGUCUGGAUCUGGAGCCGCACCGCUGCUGCACGUCUUCCACAGGGCUGUUCCAGCAUGGAGACAAGACUUGUGAAAGUUCUGCUCAUUCUACAUCACUUACUGCAAAUCAAAACUCAAUCAACUCAAAUGUUGCAUUUUUAGCGGAAGCGGAAGCGGCUCUGACAGUGGUGUGUCGCUGUUGCUGUUGUGUUGAUGAUGAUGAUGGCGGAUUUUGACCAGGUAGAUUUUCUGCGGGAGCGGCACGUGCGGUUCUUCCAGCGCUGUCUGCACGUGCUGCCCG